UUGGAGAUGAUGCAUCAUUAUAAACAUCUGACUACCACUGAUGGUGUUUGUAUUCAUACUGUCUGAUCCAG